rnacentral:lncRNA from 1 species
GAAAUACAAUUACAAUCUUUAGCUUCUCUUUCUCUAUGCAUUAUGAUGAUACAAUGUUUCAACAUGGUAUCAGAGCAGGUUUAACCAUAGGAACUCAGAAACGAAUCAUCAUCGUUCAUAAUCCAAAACCAAAACAUUCCUAGCCAAUUCAAAUCAGUUUGUGGAGAAACUCACCGGCGACAGUUUCGAUCCCAAAUCUCGAGAAUCUCCAGCUCAACCA